rnacentral:rRNA from 1 species
AUGCACGCUGGCGGCGUGCCUAAUACCUGCCAGUCGAGCGAACAGACGAGGAGCUUGCUCCUCUGACGUUAGCGGCGGACGGGUGAGUAACACGUGGAUAACCUACCUAUAAGACUGGGAUAACUUCGGGAAACCGGAGCUAAUACCGGAUAAUAUAUUGAACCGCAUGGUUCAAUAGUGAAAGACGGUUUUGCUGUCACUUAUAGAUGGAUCCGCGCCGCAUUAGCUAGUUGGUAAGGUAACGGCUUACCAAGGCAACGAUGCGUAGCCGACCUGAGAGGGUGAUCGGCCACACUGGAACUGAGACACGGUCCAGACUCCUACGGGAGGCAGCAGUAGGGAAUCUUCCGCAAUGGGCGAAAGCCUGACGGAGCAACGCCGCGUGAGUGAUGAAGGUCUUCGGAUCGUAAAACUCUGUUAUUAGGGAAGAACAAAUGUGAAAGUAACUAUGCACGUCUUGACGGUACCUAAUCAGAAAGCCACGGCUAACUACGUG